UUCUCAACGUGGUAUCAUGACUUUGCGUAAACAUACACGCCACUUUUCCUGUUCCUGUUAUGUGUACGCAUUUUGAGCCAUCUGUGUGUAUGUCUAUGCUGUAUACAGCGGACGGCAGUCUGCAACGUCACAGCGUUAUCAAAGCCAUGUGCCGUGUUAUCGCGAGGCUACGUGUUAUCGCGAGGCUACGUCUUGGGUAAAGAAGAAACGGUUGGGAUUAGGAAAA